rnacentral:rRNA from 1 species
CUACGUGCCAGCAGCCGCGGUAAUACGUAUGGUGCAAGCGUUAUCCGGAUUUACUGGGUGUAAAGGGAGCGUAGACGGAUAGGCAAGUCUGGAGUGAAAGCCCGGGGCUCAACCCCGGGACUGCUUUGGAAACUGCAGUUCUAGAGUGCCGGAGAGGUAAGCGGAAUUCCUAGUGUAGCGGUGAAAUGCGUAGAUAUUAGGAGGAACACCAGUGGCGAAGGCGGCUUACUGGACGGUAACUGACGUUGAGGCUCGAAAGCGUGGGGAGCA